rnacentral:rRNA from 1 species
AAACCAGCACCUCAAGUGGUCAGGAUGAUUAUUGGGCCUAAAGCAUCCGUAGCCGGCUCAGUAAGUUUUCGGUUAAAUCUGUACGCUCAACGUACAGGCUGCCGGGAAUACUGCAGAGCUAGGGAGUGUGAGAGGUAGACGGUACUCGGGAGGAAGUGGUAAAAUGCUUUGAUCUCUCGAUGACCACCUGUGGCGAAGGCGGUCUACCAGAACACGUCCGACGGUGAGGGAUGAAAGCUGGGGGAGCAAACCGUAUUAGAAACCCCAGUAGUCC